ensembl:lncRNA
GGGGGGGGAGUCCUUGGGCCGCGCAGGGGGCAGAAGCCCUGGCCUGGCCUCUCUGGAGCCCGGCGGACCCGCGUGGAGGGCGCUGUGGGCUCGUGACCUCGUCCUGGGCCUCACCCUGCCGGCUGCUGUCCCGGGAGAGGGCUCUGCCUGCCGCGGCCCCAUCGCGCCCUGGCUCGCACCUGCGAGGGCCGGAUCCGGGGCUGGGGACAGGGGCAGCCAGGCACCACGCUGUCCCGGGACCCUUGGGGUGACACGGGCUGCGCGGGCAGCGGGAGCAGGCUGAGGCUGCCGGCCGGGGGCGCUGUCCUCAGGGCGGAUGGCGGCUCGGACCGCGCCCGCCUGGCGCUGCCCCCGCCAGAUGAAGGCAGUGCAGGGGGCAGCGUUUUCCGGUGGACUCAGCGCCAAGCUGCUUCUCUCCGAAUUGUGCCGGGGGAAGCAGCCUUCAUCCCCACCGAAGGGCACAAAACACUCUCGGAAGUGGCAGAAGCAGAAAGAAAGUAGCAAAAGCAACUAGACAUGCAACCAUGGCGAACCGUGACCGCGUUGCAGCCUGUCCCCUACUGCGCUGCUGCAGGAGCUCAGCGGUGGCGGUGAGGUUCUUGGAAAGGGCAGCUGCGGACCACAGAGGGGACCUGAGCUGCAUGAUGGGGUCCCAGGGAGUCACCGCCCCAGGAUGUCCCCGAAGGCCACCCACACUGCCAGCUGGGGGCUGACCUCGCCCCAGGCUCUUCUGGUGUGGAGGGCCGGCACGAAUGUCAUUCAUCCCUCCCGCAUUGCCACCUGCCCUGGUCUGACCCACCAUGAGUGUGACUGACGAGUCCCCUUCAGGGGAGCCUUGCAUGACCUGGGCGGAAACAGGGGACGUUUAGGUGGCACUGCAGCUGUACGUGGGAAAACUGAGGCACAGGGCAUGGAAGGGUAGGAGAGCUUCUGCUCUGCUCUGGGGGUCAGAGACAGAGAAGACCUCAGUUGUUCCCUUGGGUACAGAGAGGGGUGACCUUAGAGAUCCAUUCCUCAGGAUCCCAGGGCUCAGUGUGGCUGGGAGGUCACCAGGCAGCCAGCAUAGAGAUGCAGGGAGUCUGGGAAACUGGAGGGAGGGCUGCUCCUCCUGCUUCUUCUCUGAUGGCCUCACCACAGUGUGCACGGGUGUUUGUGUGUGUGUACCUGUCUGCGUCUGUGUACAAGAGUGUGCUUAUGGACUGGGGAUUUAGCUCAGUAGUGCCACACCUGCCUCACACAGGCAAGGUCCCAAGUUUGAGCCCUGGAAAAAAAAAAAAAAAGAGUGUGCUUAUAUAUUCCGGUACAGGGGACAUGACUGCUUGCAGCUGAGGGCUAGCACAGGGAUGGCCACCAUGAUGGCUUGCAUCUGAAAUGUUCCCCGAGAUGGGCGUGGUGGCACACACCUGUAAUUCCAGUGUUCCUCAGGCUGGGGCAGGAGGAUCACCAUGGGUUUGAGGCCAGCCUGGACUACAUAGCGAGACCCUGUCUCAAAAAACAAAACAAACAAACAAAAAGUCCCUUGAAAGCUGUGUGCUAAAGGCUUGGUGCCAGCCCGUGGCGCUGUCAGGAGAUGGGGCAAUCUCGAGGAGGAGGGCCAUGGUUGGAGGAAGUAGGUCCCUGGGGGUGGGGCUUCAAAGGUCCCACUUUUGUCCCACCUCCUCUGCUCCCUGACAGGUGGGCAGCUUUGUGCCACCAACCCCUCCCUGCCAGCUCAGACACAAUGGAGCCAGCCAACCAUGGACUGAAAUGUCUGACACCGUGAGCCAAGAUAAAUAUUUUCUCCUACACUGAGUUUCUUAGGCAGCUAGAAGAGGCAGAGUUGGAGCAGGGCUCUGGUACCUGGGGGAGGGGUGGUCCCAGAGAUGUGUCCAGGACCCCAAGAGGCUGCUCCCUGGGGCAGCAGGGCCCUCGGGGGACUUUGUACCCAGGCAGAGCUCAGACUGAGGCCUUGGGGACCACUGAGUUCCCAUGCCCCUCUCCCUCGCCCAGCCCUGCAGCCCUGUGUACUGGGCAGAGCUGAGCCCAGGCAGGGGUUCAGCAAAAGGGAGACAGGCAGGAAGAGACGGAUCUAAGGGGUCUAAGUAACAUGGUUUAUGCCAUCAGAGGUUAGUGUGUUAAAAACCCACUGGUGGGGGCCGGGGAUUUACCUCAGUGGUUUCACCACCUGCUGCGCAAGCACAAGGACCCGAGUUUGAUCCCCGGUACCAAAAGAAAACAAAAGCAAAACCAAAAAAACCCCACUGGUACUGGCCAUCUUUGUGUGACUCCCAGAGAGCCAAAAGAAGGGAAAAUGAAACUAAGAAAACGCUGCCAAGCCAGUAGAUUGUAUGGAUGGGAGGAAUAAACUCAAGGGAGGAUGGGCUGUUCGCAGGAGCAUAAAGUCAGAUGUCAGGAAUGAUUACAGACACCUUCAUCAUGGGGCAAGUGAGAAUUCAAGAGGAAAAGCAACAAAAUGUACAAAGAGGAUGAUAGUGCACAUGGCUAGAACUUCCUAUCCAUCAGGAAGGUGCAAUAACCCGAACAUCUACACAACAUUUGUCAGGGCAGCUUUGACAUCUGCAGUGGUGGUGAGUGGCUGGAAACCCUCGUCUCAGGGAUUUUAGUCAGCCAUGGAGAUGAGUGGACGGCAGGCGCGUCUCUCCCGGGGCUGUGGAGCUGAGUACGCUGUUGAGCAACCACAGCAGGUGCAGAAUGCUAUGCACAGGGUCCCGCAGGCGGAUUUAAUAUCUAAAGCCAGUACUGCGUAACUUUCAUGGUCACAUAAAUAUGCAGUGAAGGUACAGAGCGUGCUCGGGAAUGGUGAACAGCAGAGCUGCGUUGGGGCUCCUCUGCAGAGGGAGGUCGGGUGGAAGAGCGGAAGUGUGUUCAUUCCAUCCCGGACAGCAGUCAGCACAGACACGGGAGCUUGAAGCAGCACCACCUUGCCUCUGUUUCCUGUAGUCGGAAGUCCGCAUGAGGGUUAGCAAGAUCCUCUGGCAAAACAAGGUGCUGGCCGGGCUGUGGGCACACGUAGGGCCCCAGGUCCUCCUGCAAGGUCACUCCAGUUGUUGGAAGAAUCCAAUUCCUUCAGCUGGAGGAUUCUUCUUUUUUUGUUUUUUUGAUGGCCAUUGGCUGGGUCUUUCUCAUCUCCUCGAGGCUGAUCUCACGUCCUGGCUCUGCAGCCGUCUCCAUAAAUGUUACCUUUUUACCAUUAAUAAUUUAAUUUAAAAAUUUUUUUUUUUUGGAACCGAGGAUGGAACUUGGGACCUUGUGCUUGCGAGGCAGGCACCAGAACCACUGAGCUAAAUCCCGGCCCGAUGUUACCUUUUUAAUCAGGGUACCAAGAGUGCAUUGGCUGUGGCUUUGAACCCCUCUGACUUUCAACUCUGGAAACUCUUUUUAAAAUCACCUGAUUAAGUCAGGCCCACCCACCUCAAGGGGAGGGGAUCACAGGAUCUGCACCCCAAGGGUCAGGAGUCGCCAGUGCUGUCUUAGAACCCACAGGAAGGAUGCACAGUGGGUACCAAUUGUGCUGCAGACUGUACUGAAAAUAUCUACAGCCAACAUGGCUUCAUGUUAAGGUCUCUGGAAAGUAGCUGGUGGAUACCAGGGGUUUGAUUUUCUUAUUCUUUUCUCCUACAUUAUUGAAAAUAUUUCACACAUACAAAAUUAAUGAACUAAAACACCAAAAUGCACCCUCUAUUAAAGGAGUAAAGAAAUUAUAAAUUAUUUAGAAAUAAAUAAUAAUGAAUAUUAAAACCUGAAUAAUAUAGACAUUACACAAUUAGAGAAAAAUUUACAGCCUACAUUAGAUAUACUACAAACAAGAGAAACUGAAAAUCAGUGAAAUAAUUUUACAACUAAAAACAGUGGAAAAGAAACAACAAAUUAAAUCUGAAGAAAGGAGGCAUUAGUGAAGAUAAAACUAGAAAGUAAUGGUCAAAAUAAAAUAUUGGAUGAAUGAGCACAACUUUCCCCUUGAACAGGCGUGGCUUAGUUACUUUUCUCAUUGCUGAGACAAAAUACCCGAUGCCCACAAGUUAAGGGAGGACAGGUUCAUUUAGCUCACAGUGUGUGGAGGUUUCCGUCCAUAGUCGGUUGGCUCCAAGGCAGGGGGGCCUGGCAGAGGAGGAGCAGCUCAGAGAAGCAAGGGCCCUCAGCAGCUGCUUUCUGCCACCUUUAUAGUCUUUCUUGGGUACUGGGAUCAGGGCAGGUGCACAACCAAUCAGGACUGAUUUAGUAAUCACACACCCUUAAUCCUAGCAUUGCACCAUGAAUCAGUCACACACCUUAGAUCCAGCCACCUCUGAAAAAGCUCCAUCUCUGACCACUUGAGGCUUGUGGGGACAGCUAGACACAGCCAUAACAAGGCUGGUAAAUAGAUAAAAAGUUGGCAAGCCUGAUCGAGAACAAAAGUGGAAACUUAGAAGACAAGGGAUGUAGUUCCAGGAACAGAGAAUAUUUUAAAACUAUAAAAGAAUGAUAUUGUGUGGCAAUAUUAUUCAAACAUCUAUGUGAAAUGGGUGCUUUCUAGAGAAAUAUUAGAGUUGCCUCUAAAAAAGAUACCAGGCCCCGAUGGUUUUAUGGGAGGAUUCCCUAAGCCUCAAAGGCACAGAUAAUUCCCAUGUGAAGGGAAUCAUGUUCCCAGCAUGCUCUAUGAGUGGUGUAUGCUGAUAUUAAAACAACGCAAGGAUAGGAUAAGCAAGGAAAAUGGUAAUUUCACUCUGUAAUUCAAUACAUUAGGAAAUAGAUUUAUGAAUUUAAUAUAUGACAUAAUGUUUAAUAUUUAACUCAUGUUUAUGCAUAAACGUAAGAGCAAGAAUCAAGCUAUGACAAAGCCGGGGAACUACAGUCACCAUCUCACAUCAGGAGCUGGGAUCACAGAGACCUGCAGAGCUGCCUGCGGGGAGGAGGGCAGGUCUGCUGCCAGCUCACUUGCCUCUGGUGGUGGUGUGGGCUGUGGCUGGGUGAAGUGGGGCACCCAGGAGUGUGUCUGCAGAGGCCAGUAAGGGUUUCCACCGGAAGUGAGGAUCCUGGCCGUUGACAUGGCAGUUGCUCUUGGUGAGGCAGAUGCUCCAGAAGGGGAUGGGCAGAGAAGUGGACACAGCCCAGACCUGGGAGAUGCCAGGCAUGGCUGCUAUCCUCGUCCUUGCAGGGAGGGUGGGUGCAUCCACUUGGCCUCUUUGCCUCCACGCGGGACCCAGGAUUUGUCCUGGGGUGUCUGCAGCAGGCUGGGCACUGUGGCCAGGCUGGUGGCUUGAGGACUGGCAGGGACGGCAAGAGACCUGAACUCUGUUGGGAGAGCCUCAGUCUUUCCCCACAUCUGUCCUCCACCUCAGCCACAGGUGUCACACAGAGAGGCCCCUGGAGCCCCUGCAGCUUGACUCUGCCCACGAGCCAACAGGGAGAUGCUUCUUCUUAUCACCCUCAUUGCUCUGACUGUGGCUGGAGUCCCAGCCCCACCUCUGCCCUCUCACCUCUCUGGGAGCAGGCGAGAGAUCAUCUGCCCAAGAGAGGACGCCUUUCCAGGGAGGAGCGCACCGAGGGGGCCCUGCCAGCCCCUGGGGUCCUCACCUUGCCUUCUUCAAGCAGGGACAGGACGGCCUUGAAGGAGGGAGCUGCAGGGUGCCCAUCCCUUCAGGAUGCCAGCCAUCAUGAGGAGGGCCCACCUCAGUUUGCCUCUGCCAAGACCCUGCCUGUUAAUCGCAUCGCUUCCGGUGGUCCUGAGGCCUAGGAAUUCAACCUGUGAGUUUGGAGGGAUGGAACUCAACCCGUGGUGGUCACCUGACGUAGCCAUCACCCAGAACUCAUCCUUUGUCCUCUCCGAUUUCCCCAGCAGGGCAGUGGUUGGGGGCGGCUUGGCGGGCGGUGCUGGGUGCCAGGGAGCAGGGCGCUGUCCCCGGAGGGUGUGAUGAGCAGAGGUUCAGUUUCCACUGUGUGGCUGUGGGUGGAGGCCUCGGCCCUCCCGGACCCCCACAGCAUGCCGGAGUGUCCCCCCACUCGGUGACUGGUCCUCUGCUGGGGACCGGGAGAGCCAGCGUGCCUUUUCUGACCGGCCUUGGGCGUCACGGGUGUCCCUUCCAGCCUGUGCUCUUGAUCACAGAGGCUGCUCCCGCUGGAGCUGGGAGGAGGUUCCGAAGGUGAGUCCCGGGAGGGAGGGCUUCGUUCCUGACCCGGCUGGCUGACCAGACUUCUGCUUUCCAGCCAGUGGGACGUGGAGGGAGGAGUGAGGCCCCUUCCUGCUAACUGGGGACGUGGGAGUUGCAGUCGCCUCUUUUCAAAUCACCCUCGCUGAAAGUCAGUGGCACAGCCACACAGGGCUGGAGGAAGGGCGGGAGACCGCUGUCACCUUCAGGGCCCGGCCCAGCUCAGCUGGGACCCAGGAGCCUCUCAGCGUGGGCCAGCUGCUGGCCCUUCCCCCAGCUGGCUGUGGCUUCAGAAGCAGCCCUACAAGGGGCAGAGGAGGGUACCAUGUGUGCUCCCCGUGGAUUCUGAGAGCUCACACAGAGCUGUCCCCAGAGCUGUGGGUGUCACUGGAGGCAGAAGCAGAGGUCAGCGGGAAGCACCUGGCAAGUCUGACACAAUCUCGCCACUGUCCAACCUGAAUCCCGGGCAGGAGCUCCACCAUGUGCCGGGGGGCGGGGAACUCCCACACCCUGUCUUGCAGGCUUCUGGUGACGGCCGGUGACGUGAUUGCUUUCCAGGAAAACCCUGGGUUUGGGUCCUGUUAUCCAGGGGCCUCCACUGGGAAACUGAGGCUGCCCUGUGGGUCCCAGUCCAGGGGCUUGAGAUGGUGCCCACUGAGCUCUGCCUUUUCCUGGGCCCAUGGCUGCAGCUGGAAUGGGGCCCCUUCCUGACCAGGGCCACCACUUCCCUCUCUGCUGGGCUCUCUCCAAGGCACUGGGGCCUUUGCACGGCCCAGGAUCUUCCACAGCCUAUGGACCCCUACUAGGAUCAUAUUUUUAUGUAUAUAUGUAUGUAUGCACACAUGCAUAUAUGUAUGCAUUCAUGUACUCCUGAAUGCAUGCACAUGCGUACACAUACAAUGGUACCACAAACACUUUUGUUUAUAAACAGUUUGGUCUGAAAACAGAAGUCUUUGGCAAAAUUUUGAUUUUUUUGCAAACUCUGCAUUGGGUGACAAACAUGAUCAAGGCCAUCUUUCCCACACAAACACAAACGUGGCCAUCUGUCCCCAAACUGUAGAACAAAUUAUGAACCGAGGCACCACUGUACAUGUAUAUCCGCGUGUAUGAAUUCUGUGGUGCUGGGGAUCGAACCUGGGGCCUCACAAAUGCUAGAAAAGUGCUCUGCUGCCGAGCUUCAUCCCUAGCCCAGGAUAAUAUUUUUAAAUGCAUAAAAAAUCCCCACAAAGGAUUAUAAAGAAAAUCAAUUGAAAUAUAGCAAUCAAAAUAUUAAAAAUAAAUUUGGG